AUUGGACGCUGGCGGCAGGCUUAACACAUGCAAGUCGAGCGGAGAUGAGGUGCUUGCACCUUAUCUUAGCGGCGGACGGGUGAGUAAUGCUUAGGAAUCUGCCUAUUAGUGGGGGACAACAUUCCGAAAGGGAUGCUAAUACCGCAUACGUCCUACGGGAGAAAGCAGGGGAUCUUCGGACCUUGCGCUAAUAGAUGAGCCUAAGUCGGAUUAGCUAGUUGGUGGGGUAAAGGCCUACCAAGGCGACGAUCUGUAGCGGGUCUGAGAGGAUGAUCCGCCACACUGGGACUGAGACACGGCCCAGACUCCUACGGGAGGUAGCAGUGGGGAAUAUUGGACAAUGGGGGGAACCCUGGUCCAGCCAUGCCGCGUGUGUGAAGAAGGCCUUAUGGUUGUAAAGCACUUUAAGCGAGGAGGAGGCUACUGAGACUAAUACUCUUGGAUAGUGGACGUUACUCGCAGAAUAAGCACCGGCUAACUCUGUGCCAGCCGCCGCGGUAAGAC
rnacentral:rRNA from 1 species